rnacentral:rRNA from 1 species
AUGGAUAACAUGGGUUGGCCGUCCCAAAAAAACAAUAGGCCUUAUAUUCAAGUUGCCACGAAUGCCCUGCGAGAAACAGGUUUUGAGGGGCAGCAUUUUCCAACAAUACAUGAAAUCAUUCUAGAAAUUUUGCGCUUACAGAUAUAUCUGGUUUCUCCACGAUAUUCCCAUCAUAUUUCUCCCCGGUCUCUGUCUUCUCAUAAUCUUUCUCGUCCUCGUUCGUAUCCCCCUCUCCGUCUUCCCUCUUAUCCACCUCUUUCUCCUCAGGUACUAAGAGAUCCUUCAGAGGCCUCUUCUCUUCUCUAUUCCUCUUCCUUCUUUCCAUUCUCGUUAGUGUAUAGAUUGAAUCUCUGA